UACAGAGGGUGCAAGCGUUAAUCGGAAUUACUGGGCGUAAAGCGUGCGCAGGCGGCUUUGCAAGACAGAUGUGAAACCCCCGGGCUCAACCUGGGAACUGCAUUUGUGACUGCAUGGCUGGAGUGCGGCAGAGGGGGAUGGAAUUCCGCGUGUAGCAGUGAAAUGCGUAGAUAUGCGGAGGAACACCGAUGGCGAAGGCAAUCCCCUGGGCCUGCACUGACGCUCAUGCACGAAAGCGUGGGGAGCAAACAGG
rnacentral:rRNA from 1 species